ACUAACGCUGGCGGCGUGCCUAACACAUAGCAAGUCGUACGGAAAGCCGGCUUCGGCUGGUGAGUAAAGUGGCGCACGGGUGAGUAACGCGUGGAUAAUCCUGCCCUUAAGGUGUCGGAAUAACGUACCGAAAAGGUGCGCUAAUACCGCAUAAUGCCUGGCAACACAAGUUGUCCGGCCAAAGAAGGCCUCUGUUUACAAGCUUUCGCUUCAGGAUGAGUCCGCGUACCAUUAGCUUGUUGGUGGGGUAAUGGCCUACCAAGGCUGCGAUGGUUAGCUGGUCUGAGAGGAUGAUCAGCCACACUGGAACUGAGACACGGUCCAGACUCCUACGGGAGGCAGCAGUGAGGAAUAUUGCGCAAUGGGGGAAACCCUGACGCAGCGACGCCGCGUGGAGGAUGACGGCCUUCGGGUUGUAAACUCCUGUCAGAAGGGACGAAAUCCCGCAAGGGACUGACGGUACCUUCAGAGGAAGCCCCGGCUAACUACGUG
rnacentral:rRNA from 1 species